ACUGUCUGCUUGGUGUGUUCCUGCCUUAAGAGGACCCCUUAGUAAAUGUGCACACACACAAACACACACUUCACCCUAAAAAAAUAUGUUAAAGGUAUAGUUCACCCCCCAAAAAAGAACAAUCUGUAAUCAUUAACUCACCAUCAACCCAAACCCUUGACUGAUUGAUCUUUUCCAUGCAGGAAAUGGUAAAUGAAGGCAUUAAGCCUCAAAAAAAGAGCACGAAAUCACCACAAAAGUAUCAUAAAAGUUGUCCUUUCAAAGACUCCAUAAAAAAAAAACAACAGGGUUAUGGGACAAACAAGCCAAAAUGUAAGUCCUCGCAUUCUUCCGAGGCUUUAUUAAUGAAUUCAUAAGAGUACACGAGAGAACUAGCUAUGUUGGAUUCAUGAAUAAAAUAUUUGUUUUAGUCAGAUCUUUUAAAAUAAAAUGUUUAAUUCCAUUCAUAAAGUUUACAUCUGAUUCUCAAGUUCAAUUUAUCAACUUGCUGUUAACAGCUCAAGAGGGAAGAUCACUGAAUAAUGACUUAAAUUUCUGCGUCGACUCACACGACUGCUACUGUAAAUCUUUAGACGACUUGGGAUGUGUACCACUUUUAUGACGAUCUUACUUUAGACUUGACAUCUUCGGUCAUGUUUUAUUGUCAAUGCAUGGAAAACAGUGAUUCUUCAAAAUGUCUCCUUUUGUGUUGCAGAGUGGAAAGAAAGUCAUAAGUUCUUGGAGCAACAUAAAGGUUCUGUCCUUGAUGGAAGGAUUACCAGGGGUUAUUCUCAAUUCAGAUCAAGAUACGGACAAAGUUCCUGCUUCAGCAAGGUUGUAUUAGUCAUGUGGAACAAGCACAGCUUGGAAUAUAGCACAGGAAGCAGACAAAUGUGGAAACUAGGCCAGGACAAAGAGGUAAGGUGUACACUCAUUAGGAUGGAGUCCAGAGGUCCAAUCCCUAAAGCUACAGCUAUAGAUAUAUUACUACUGCUCAUAUGCUCUAAUUUAAGACCAAACCACAGUGCUGAAAGCAUGCACAGUCAUGAUAGUGAAAAUACAGUAUAUGACCACACAACUUCACUAACAAGGUUAGAUUUACUCAUUCUUUAGGUGAAUGCAUAGAAAUGUACAUACAAGAAGACAGUACUCAGAUCUUUGAAUCAACGAAGAACCUUUGCGAUGCACAAUACUGUAUAAUGUUGACAUUUGGGAAAUAGUAAUGCACUAAAUGACUUCAAUCACAAAUAAACUACAGCAAUGGUGGAAAAUCAGCCUUUGUUCUAAACAUUUUACAUAAAAGAUUUGUAGAUACAUUUAUGCAUUUCUAUGUUCAUUUCUUUUCAGAUCAAAAUCAUACAAUAUUUUAUCUUGGCUAUGAUGUUGGAGGCAACUGUAACAUAAAAAACCCCCCACAAUUUUAUGACAAUAGAAAACUUAAAACAAAUUAAAAUAUGAACUUUAAUGUAUCCAACCAAGUGCUUUGUUUGAUGCAUCAGCUGAUCAAUAUAGUAAAAAUCUGUGUGGGACAGACUUAACACACAAAUAACAUGAAGAUGAAGGUUGACAGGCUUUAAUUUCAAUGAGGAAAAUCCAACACGGUACAAAACACAACUACAUAUGGAUGAU